UAGACGAACAACCCCGGGAAACUGGGGUUAAUACCCGAUAGGUGAGGAGGCCUGGAAUGGUUCUUCACCGAAAAGACGUUGAGGCCAUGCUUCUUGAUGUUGCCUAAGGAUGGGGCCGCGUCCGAUCAGGUUGUUGGUGGGGUAACGGCUCACCAAGCCUAUAACCGGUACGGGCCGUGGGAGCGGAAGCCCGGAGAUGGGCACUGAGACAAGGGUCCAGGCCCUACGGGGCGCAGCAGUCGCGAAAACUCCACAAUGCGCGAAAGCGCGAUGGGGCUAUCCCGAGUGCCGUCCGCUGAGGAUGGCUUUUCUCCAGUGUAAGGAGCUGGAGGAAUAAGGAGAGGGCAAGUCUGGUGUCAGCCGCCGCGGUAAUACCAGCUCUCCGAGUGGUAGGGACGUUUAUUGGGCCUAAAGCGUCCGUAGCCGGCUCAGCAAGUCCUCCGUUAAAUCCAGCGAUUCAAUCGUUGGACUGCAGGGGAUACUGCUGGGCUAGGGGACGGGAGAGGCCGACGGUAUUCUCGGAGUAGGGGUGAAAUCCUAUAAUUCCGGGAGGACCACCAGUGGCGAAGGCUGUCGGCUAGAACGAGCUCAACGGUGAGGGACGAAAGCUGGGGGAGCGAACCGGAUUAGAUACCCGGGUAGUCCCAGCUGUAAACGAUGCGGGCUAGGUGUUAGGGUGGCUACGAGCCACUCUAGUGCCGCAGCGAAGGCAUUAAGCCCGCCGCCUGGGGAGUACGGCCGCAAGGCUGAAACUUAA
rnacentral:rRNA from 1 species